UACGUAGGGUGCGAGCGUUAAUCGGAAUUACUGGGCGUAAAGCGUGCGCAGGCGGUUUUGUAAGCCAGAUGUGAAAGCCCCGGGCUUAACCUGGGAAUGGCAUUUGGGACUGCAAGGCUUGAGUGCGGCAGAGGAGACUGGAAUUCCUGGUGUAGCAGUGAAAUGCGUAGAUAUCAGGAGGAAUACCGAUGGCGAAGGCGGCGACCUGGUCCAUAACUGACGCUGAGGCGCGAAAGCGUGGGGAGCAAACAGG
rnacentral:rRNA from 1 species